rnacentral:lncRNA from 1 species
CUAAUUGUGAGGGUGAGGGGUCCUUUUAUAGAAUAAUGACUCAUCACUUAUUACAUAUUUGCCCCUUCCUUUAUCACAUAAUUACAUUUAAGUCCCCUGAGUAUUUGUACAAGAUCUAAAUACGAGGCCCUAAAUAUGGUAUAAACAUGAGUCUUUGUGGACAUUCCGGAUCGAGGUGUGUCACUUUUAUAUCACAAAUACAACGCCACGUGAUUUCUUGUGUUAACAAAACAAGAAUAUAUGAAUAACAAUACACACAUAGUUUUUUUAUUGACACAAGAAACCAACAUGAUAUGGUAUUAUCAUUCUCCCCAUACGCAUAUAAAUUUCUCCUUUAUAUAAAAAAUCAUGGCCAAAAUUUGAAGCAACUAAACGAAAAACAAACAAAAAUUACAUCAACUUUUAAUCCAAUUGCCCCAAAAAGCAGUAGCUAUCACGAAAUAACAUAAGAAAAACAGAGGCAAUUUGGUGAUGGCGUCUUCUUAUUUGGUAAGGAGUAGUGGGGCCCACCAUCACCAAAGAAGUGGAGUUCUCUUGCUUUCAGUACGAUGCGCACCAGCUCACUCACUAAACGCCCUUUCCCCCUCUCUAAUCUCUCUCUUUAUUUUUGAACCAUAACCAAAUAGUAAGGAGAGGUUGUCCAAACUAUUACAAACUCAAAAUGUAAUGUAUCAAAUUCAAAUCUGCACAAAAUGGGGUUUUUGAACUUUAAUCUUUGAAGAAGAUUAAAUUUAAUAAAAAUUUGGUGUUAGAUUGGAUACUGAUUUUAGUCCUAUAAUGUGUACUUAAUUCAAAUUUAUAUUUUAAUAAUUAAUAGAUAUCUUAUUUAACCGCAGAAGCCGUCAGGAACUCCCCCAAAUGAUUGCACAUUAUCACCCCAAAACCCCCAUGUAGACCAACUCAACUCCAUGCAUUUCAAUUUUUCUUAGAAUGUAGAAAGAUGAGUAUUUGGGUUUCAAUUUUUUUCCGUCAACGUUCUACAACAGUUGUAAUGAAAGUAUGAUAUAUAAGACCCUUUCUAUGGAAAGUAUAAGUAUUAGUAAUUUGUUUGGCUUUGGCAUAUCAGAAAGCGAAAGCUGUUUUCAUGCUACCCUAUCCUCCUAAACGAAACCCUUCACUUCAACUUCAUAUUACAAAUUUGUCGUAGUUCUGAUUGACAUUUGUUUUCCUUCUAAUAAAUUGCUUGGGGUAGUGCAUGGUAGUGAGUGCAGGUUAGAUGAAUUUAUUUCAUCAAAUUAAAUUAAAUAAUUGCAGCAAAAAAACAAACACACACAAACACCGAAACACAAAUACCAUGGAAAAUGCUAUAAUGUUGUACGCAGCUCCAGUAGAAAUUUGAAACUUUAUCAAAAAUCAAAUAAGAUGCAACAAAAAAAUGCAGAGAAAAUUUUGAAAAACAAAAAGCUCUGUUUCUAAAGAGAUCAAGGUGGGAGGGGAGACAAAUGACCAAGAAGAUUUUUGAUUUUCGAGUUUCUUUGAGAUUUUAUUUUAUAAUGGGUGUAAAGAUAAAUAUACUUUUUGUCACAUCCCAGCCCGAGCUCCCACCAUAUUUCGAGCUCGACUCCACCGUAGCACGAUAUUGUCCGCUUUGUCCCCGACCAAGCCCUCACAGUUUUGUUUCUGGGAACUCACACGAGAACUUCCUAGUAGGUCACCCAUCAUGGGAUUGCUCUUGCGCGAACUCGCUUGACUUUGGAGUUCCGAUGGAACCCGAAGCCAAUGAGCUCUUAAAAGGCCUCGUGGUAGGUAGAGAUGGGAAUAUACAUAUAAGGCUUCCAGGAUUCAAUCCUCUAGGCGAUGUGGGAUGUUAAAAUCUACCCCCCUUAGGGGCCUGAAGUCCUCGUCGGCACACUUCCGGCCAGGGAUUGGCUCUGAUACCAAAUUGUCACAUCCCGACUAGAGCCCCCACCACAUCCCGGGUUUGACUCCACCGUAGCACGAUAUUGUCUGCUCUGGGAACUCAAACGAGAACUUCUCAGUAGGUCACCCAUCAUGGGAUUGCUCUUGCGCGAACUCGCUUAACUUUGGAGUUCCGAUGGAACCCGAAGCCAAUGAGCU